ACUUACAGUAUGUUUAUGUUUAUGUAUUUAGCAGAUAGGUUUCUGCUGCAGGAAAUCUUUUUCAGUUUGUCUAUAGGUCACAAAAUGAAGGGGAAAUUACAUUUGGUCAAAUUUAGAUAAUGAAACGUUAUAAAUAAAAAACUAUUUUACUUGUCAGCAUGGAACGUGAAGACACUGCCUAAAAUAAAAAAAUAUUAUGACACGUAAAACUAUUGUCUGAGGAAGUCUGAGGAAGUUGUGUGGUUUAUCAGUCAGCCUCCAGUCCAGCAAGUAGCGCUAGUGAUGCUGGUCACCAACCACCGGAAGAAGCAGAAACCAGAAGCUGCUAGCAGAGUUAGCUUGUUGUUGUUCCUUUGGCCUCUCUGAGAAACGCGCUCGUUUUGCUGCUUUCAUCAGAUUGAAGAGGUUCCCUCUAUCAGACUCGCUCAUCUGAGUUGGUCAUGAUGCAGGAUCGCUGCUCGCUCUCUCAUCCAUCCUGCUCACACUCUCCGACGGAAAAGCCCCGAAUCUGAAUGUGACUCUGGAGGAAAAAAACGGUUAGCUCUACUCCGUGAACUCUGCUGUUAGCUAAACACGGCUAAAGAAAACCUGCUACCACUUCUGGAUCAUCCAUCAGCAUGGACACAGAUCUGUUAAAAGGUCACCAUGGCAGCCUGUGUGUCUCCAACAUCAGCUACACAACGUAGCAAGUCCAUUUGGAUCAUUGUUGACAGCUGAGUGAGGUGUGGUGCCCAGAGAGCUGCAGAGACCCUUGGAGACAACCAUGGCCUCCCUGAAGUCCGUGUCUCCUGGUUCGGUUGGGGCAGACUGAGGUGGAAAGACCUUCUCCCCUUCUUUUUCCACUCCCUGUAUGGAAGAGCAGCUCCUGAUGUCCUUCUCAUCCACUGUGGCGGCAAUGACAUGGGGGUGGUCAUUAGUGUGAAUCUGGUGAACAUGAAGGAGGACCUGCACCGGCUUCACCUUCUACACCCUCAUAUCACACUGUUGAGAACUGUUCUUCCUUCUCAACCCAAUGUUCCACUCACUCUGCAGCUCUCUGGGCCCCUUUUAUUAUUUUAAGUAUUUUUUUAAAUGUCCCGAUACUUUGUGUCCUGUUAUUUUAUAAAAUGUGACAUAAACAAAUAAAUGUUUUUGCUCAAUUACUGGAAUUUCUUUGGUUAAGACAAAAAAGGAAGAAUCAUUUAUGCCAAGUUGUUUCUACAACAGGCCCGUUUUAAGUCCAACAGUUUCUUAGCAGCCAAUAGAAAUGUGUUCUUUACUAACUUUACUUGCUUUAAAAAUCUUACUAAAAUAAACAGAGUGCUGUAUUGCAAAACCAAAUCAUACUUGUUAUGUAAAUAUUAGCUUUGUAGAUACUUUUUACAGAUGAAUAUUUGUCUGCUAAAAAAACCAUGAACAAAUAAUUUGUCAUUCUUUAUUGAAAAACAACAAAAUACAGGUAUACAGAAAGUGUGGGAAAAUUGAUAAUGUGAAAGUAUUGCUCUUUAAAUGUAAUACUAUUUAUCUUUAAAAAGAAAAACUCUAAAAAUGUCCUGUACAGCAACAUGACAGAAGAAAGAUGGUCUGUCUCUCAGAAUGUGCUGAACAGAUUUGCUCUAUCAAGAGGAGCGUUUUGUGUACGAGUUUAUGUUAUUGUAAUAUUGGUUUGGGUUAUGUAUCUGACACGAUCCAGGUGGAAUGGAAGGUGCCACUAAUAUUAAAAGGAUUAAAAUAGGUUCUAAAAAAAUCAAGGCAAGCAGUGCGACAGCCAAAGCAAAUUAAAAAGGGACAUUACAAAACCCUGAUGAUGAUGCCAAGGGAAAAAGUGUGCGCAGGGCCCCAAGGGACAAGGCGGUCCAGUCCGGCUCUGCUGAUCUCUCGACCAAGGAACCUCCAAGGCCGUCGUCGUCGUCGUCUGGGAACCACAGGAUCACUGCACGGUGGAUCCAAUCCACCUCCUCCUCGGCCCGGCCCCUGUGGCACACAACAACUCCGGCAGUAAAUAGGUCCCCGGCACCAGACCACUCACCGAGAGAGAGCAACUCUUAACACUGCCAGGCACUGAUCAGUUACUUACGCGCGGGGGCAGAGUAACUCUGCCCGCCUGUGCCCUGGCGUAUCCAGCCGUGGAUCUCUCUCUCCGCUGUUGCUGCUGCUUCUCCUGCCGCUGCUGCUGCUGUCCGUGCCGCCGGUGGAUCUCCUUCCAGUCCUUGCGGAGCUCGCGGUGUCCGUCUGGCUCCAGCCGAGUAUUUUCCUUUCCCCUCACGUUUCUGCGUCUCCACGUCCGCUCCCUUAAAUAAACAAAACCCUCCGCCCGUUCACCUCCCACCCUGCCUCUGUUCAUUGUUUUCCAGUCCAGUCCACACUCCACUCCCAGGUGUAGGUAAUUGGGGAGGAUUAACACAGAUGGGAUGCAAUGUUGCAGCAAUCACUAAAAACAUCCAAACAGUUAAAAAUCAACCUAAAUGCACCUAAUCAAUUAGAAAACAUGCAAUAUAAAACAUAACAUAAGAACAACAUUACCACUCUGUGAAAUAUUGCCACAUUAGCAUGUAAAUGCUGAACCAAUCUGGAAUAAAGAGGGAUGCUGACCAGUAGAGGUGGUUCACCACACUUUGCUUCCACAGUCUCACAUCCUGGCUCGUCUUUCUCUUCCCCAGCUCUUCGAUUUUCUUACCAAUUCAUGGAGAGCCAAAUAGACCCACAUUUAAAAUAGAAAAAAAAUCAUGUAAUAUUCACUAUAUACAUCCCCAAAGAUUACCUUUUCCCAUGUGCCAGGGGUCAAAGUAGUGACUGAUUUUCUUUUUUUCCUCCCGCAAAUACUUCUGCACCCAUGUGUGGCGGUCAGUCACAACUUGCUGCACAUCGACCCCCCCUCUCCAAAAGUGUGCUCAGACUUCGCACAAAUCCCUCCUUCUCCAUUCACACACUAUUUCCAACUUCAUUGCUCUGAAAAUAAACAUAAUUCUCCAUUGAUCUGUGAAUAAUUAACCAUGAAAUGUGUUGGAAUCAUCAGGUAAUGUUGUACCUGUACGAGUUGGAUAUCAAUAACUUUGUUUCUUUUGAGAUCCAUCAUGGUGUAACUGCCAUAUUUGGCUGAGUGUCAUUCAGAAAUGCAAGUUAUUACUUAAUUUACAUUUGAUAGCAAAGGAAUAAAAUAAAUAAAUUUAAACGUAUUCACCAGGUGAAUCAGCUCGCAUGUCACCACCAAGAGUCACAGGUCCAGAUUCAGUAGCCUCCUGGAUGAUAACAGCUUGCUCUAGCUGCCACUGCCAACUCACUGUUGGAAUUAACAGCUUUGCCUGAUGUCGAUAGAAUGUCUGCUUGGACAGUCCCUGCACAUUGAAGGCACCCAGGAACUAAAAUAUGAAAAGUUACGUCAUGAAAUGAGAGAUGCACAGACCUUUUCAAAACUAACCUAAACAUUUUUGGCCUAUACCAUAGAAAUCUGGCUAAAUGAUGAGCCAGACUUUCUGGAAGAUGAAUUUCCAUCAUGGUCCCUGUGUCACAAGACACACAGCGGCUGGGAGCUCUAAACUGGGUGGCUAUAUAAAAACAAAGAAAAAGCACAUUUAUAAAUGUUUAAAAGAGCAUAAAAUCACGUGUAACAAUAAUCUGUAAAACACGUUAAAACUAGAAGGUAAUAAUAAAAUGUUUACAUGGACAAUUAUUAAAAAUAAUUCACCUUUGCUACAGGUAAGGCUUCACGUCAGGCUGGACAAAUGCAUUCUUGCAGCUAAAUUAGUCUGACAGUCAAUGUCUUGGGUAGAUUUAGCCUGGGAAAAAAAUAGAAGCACAUUGUUGUUGGAGUUUAUAAAGUCAGAUAAUAUACAAAAGAAACUGUCAGAUAUAGGCGAUUUAUAACAUUCCUAGUGUGUGAUCGUUAUUAUAACGUAAAAGUCAGUCACAUAUGAUGUGGAGAGCCUGAAAUGCGACCUCCUGAACAGAAUUCCUUACAGAACUGGGUCACGCUGUGCUGGAUUUCACACUCUAAUGAUGUCUGUCAACUAGUGCUGUGUUAGUUAGAGUCACUGUUGCAGAAUCGACUGACACAAAAACAACCCGAAUUUUCUCCGAGCCUGACAGUAAUAGUCAUGUGGACCGAUUCGUCGGCCAGGGCUUCGAGAUAUGUUCCGAUUCACCGCUGAUUCUAAACUUACAUCCCGUUCCACAUUUUGUGAUUAGCCCGAAGGCAGUGCAGACCUAAGUGAACCACGUCUCUCAAACUUUGCAUUUAGGUAGGGAAUUGAGCUGCAGUAUUUCUGCGGUCAGGUCUCUCUACGAGUCCGAGAGCUCCACAAGCGGUCAGCCCCGUCCGAGAGCUCCACGAGGGGUCAGCCCCGUCCGAGAGCUCCACGAGCGGUCAGCCCGCGCAGCAGCUAGUAGUCGCUGCAUCGGCCAGACAUGCACUGGGCUG